rnacentral:rRNA from 1 species
UACGAAGGGGGCUAGCGUUGCUCGGAAUCACUGGGCGUAAAGCGCACGUAGGCGGCUUUUUAAGUCAGGGGUGAAAUCCUGGAGCUCAACUCCAGAACUGCCUUUGAUACUGGGAAGCUUGAGUCCGGAAGAGGUGAGUGGAACUGCGAGUGUAGAGGUGAAAUUCGUAGAUAUUCGCAAGAACACCAGUGGCGAAGGCGGCUCACUGGCCCGAUACUGACGCUGAGGCACGAAAGCGUGGGGAGCAAACAGG